rnacentral:rRNA from 1 species
AACGGAUGUAGCAAUACAUCAGUGGCAGACGGGUGAGUAACACGUGGGAACCUUCCUCGUUGUACGGGACAACUCAGGGAAACUUGAGCUAAUACCGUAUACGUCCGAGAGGAGAAAGAUUUAUCGCAAUGAGACGGGCCCGCGUCGGAUUAGCUAGUUGGUAGGGUAACGGCCUACCAAGGCGACGAUCCGUAGCUGAUCUGAGAGGAUGAUCAGCCACACUGGGACUGAGACACGGCCCAGACUCCUACGGGAGGCAGCAGUGGGGAAUCUUGGACAAUGGGCGCAAGCCUGAUCCAGCCAUGCCGCGUGAGUGAAGAAGGCCUUAGGGUUGUAAAGCUCUUUUGCCAGGGACGAUAAUGACGGUACCUGGAGAAUAAGCCCCGGCAAACUUCGUGCCAGCAGCCGCGGUAAUACGAAGGGGGCUAGCGUUGUUCGGAUUUACUGGGCGUAAAGCGCACGUAGGCGGGUCGUUAAGUCAGGGGUGAAAUCCCGGAGCUCAACUU